UACAGAGGUCCCGAGCGUUGUUCGGAUUCACUGGGCGUAAAGGGUGCGUAGGUGGCAUGGUAAGUUUGAUGUGAAAGCUCAGGGCUUAACCCUGAAAUGGCAUUGAAUACUGCUGUGCUGGAGGUUUGGAGGGGGGACUGGAAUUCUUGGUGUAGCAGUGAAAUGCGUAGAUAUCAAGAGGAACACCAGUGGCGAAGGCGAGUCCCUGGACAACACCUGACACUGAGGCACGAAAGCUAGGGGAGCAAACGGG
rnacentral:rRNA from 1 species